AUUGGCAUGUGAAGGUGGCAGGGCUGCUGUCCUUGAUCUCAGGGACCUUGUGCAAGUCAUGGAGCGGGCACCCCAGCCAUUAGCCUUCUGUGCGUCCCAUCGCUGUGCUCAGCUGCAAGCAUUACCCCCUUUCCUCCUCGAUGCCACCAAAUAUGGCAUCUAUUCUCCAGCUAGAUGCUAGGUAGGGCCACACUCAUCUAGCGAGCAUCUGCUUACACGUGAUAAGCCUGCUCACCAGGGGGAGAGCGUGCUGAUUUAUGCAGACUUUCUAGGAGAGCAGAACCCAAGGUGGCAACUUCUCACCCCAGAACAAAACAACGGCUUUGCACCGUCUAUGGAGGUCUCACGUGUGUUCAAUUGGCUUGGGCUCCUCUCAGGACUGGGAGUGGGCCAGACCCUGGAGCUCCGUCUCCUCCUCGAGGUCCUGACCACAAGACUGGGCUCUCGGCUUUGCGACCCAGCAAAAUGUGCAUCUCCUCCUGCACUUUUCUAGUGCUUAGUUUUAGAGAAGCCGUCACUAAUCUGUGGAGUAAAGGCGUGUGUCCCAAACUGCUUCCUUCCUCCUGACAGCUUACAGUUCCGGUUUGGGGAGCUAGAGAUGAAUAUACUGGGGGCAUCUGGCGGGGAUGAAAUGCUCUCCCUUUGCCCCAGCACAGAGGCGGGCCCCUCUCCGUCUCUGAAGAGAAGGCUGGCUUUGUCGUCUAGACCUUGCUUUUAUUUUUAACUGUUUAUGUAACACAGAUUCAGAAAAGUACACAAAACAUAAACGACGGCUUGAUGAAUUAUCACGAAGUGAACACCCUUGUAACCACCGUCCAGAUCAAGAAAUGGAACCCUGCCAGCGCCCCAGAGGUCUCCGGAUCACAACCCCUUCCCUCGCUACCAAAUAUCACAAUAGCCUGGUUUUUUUUGCCCCCAGACAAACAAUUUUUUAGUGAAGUUGUUGGCAAUGUUUUCAUUGCAUUUUUUUGAAUGUAUUGAAUUUUAUUGAAUUGAAUUAAUGUUUACGAUGUUUUUAUUGAAGUUGAUUUAUGAGGUUAUGUUAGUUGCUGGUGUACAGCAAAGUAAUUCAGUUUAUAUGUAUGUAUAUACUCAUAUUCUAUUCCAUUACGGUUUAUUACAAGAUCUGAAUAUAGUUCCCUGUGCUAUACAGUAGGUCCUUGUUUAUUUUAUAUAAGGUAGUAUAAUCUGUUAAUCCCAAACUCCUAAUUUAUCCUUCCCCCUUUUCCGCUAAGGUAACCAUAAGUUUGUUUUCUUUGCCUAUGACUCUAUUUCUGUUGUAAAUAAGUUCCUUUGUGUCUUUUGUUAAUUUGAAUCUUUUUAAAGAUUCUACAUAUAAGUGCGAUCAUGUGAUAUUUGUCUCUCUCUGAUUUAACUUCACUUAGUAUGAUAAUCUCUAGGUCCAUGCAUGUUGCUGCAAAAUGGCAUUAUUUCAUUCUUUUUUAUGGCUGAGUAGUAUUCUACUGCAUGUGAAUAUGUAUGUGUAUUACAUCUUCUUUAUUUAUUCAUCUGUCCAUGGACACUUCAGUUGCUUCCAUGUCUUGGCUGUUGUGAAUAGUGCUGCUAUGAACCUUGGGAUGCAUGCAUGUAUCUUCAAAUUCAAGUUUUCAUCUUUUCUGGAUAUGUCCCCAGGAAUGGGAUUGCUAGAUCAUAUGGUAACUCUAGCCUUAGUUUUCUGAGGAACCUCCAGACUGUUCCCAUAGUAGCUGUACCAACCUACAUUCCCACAAACAGUGUAGGCAGGUUCCCUUUACUCCACGCCUUCUCCAGCGUUGAUUAUUUGUAGACUCUUUGUUGAUGACUGUUCUGACCUGUGUGAGGUGAUACCUCAUUGUAGCUUUGAUUGGUGUUUCUCUAAAAUUAUCAAUGUUGAGCAUCUUUUCAUGUGCCUGUUUGGCCUGGCUUUUAUACGAGUUGCUUUCUUACUUCUUAAAACAGUUAAUCUCCCCACUAAUAUGCACCUCUAAGUGCUCUGAUUUAGUUGUGCCUAUUUUUUUUUUAAUUUUCUAUAAGGAGAAUACUUAUGUAUUCUUUGGUAUCUGGCUUCUUUUGCUCAACAUAUUUUUGCGGAAUUCAUGCAUUUUUGUUGUGUGGAAAUGUCAUUUAUUCAUUCCCAUUGCUGUGUAUCACUCCAUUGAAUGAUGAGCACAAUUUUUGUAUCCGAUUUGUUGAUGGACAUUUGGUUUGUUUACCGUUUGGGAAUGUUACCCCGAAAUGCUGCCGUGGUCGUUGUUGGACGUGUCUUUUGGUCAGCCUGUGUGUGCAUGUGUGGGUCCGAGUGCCUUCUGUGGGGUGUACCUGGUGAUGGAAUCACAGCACCUCAUCUUCUCCUUACAUUGGCCUUGUCCGCAGCAGGGGAAGCUUGGCUCACUGUCCAGCCUCUGUACGCCUGGCUUGGCUCCAAGCUCCUCCUGGGGCCCUUUUGCCUUCCUGGGUGUCAUGGAAGUAGAGCCCUAAAGCUUGUGUGUGCUGGGCAUGGUUAACGGCACAGGCAGAUGUCUGAGUGGUGUGUAGGAGGCUGGGAGGAGGGCGUGGAGGCAGCGUUGUGGGCACAGCCUGUCCAUCACAGCCCUCCAGGGAGACCCAAAUGCCCAACCCUGUAAGCUCUGGUGUCCACCUGCCGUGUUUCUUCCUGAGUGGCUCUGGGGCCCUUCCAGCACACUGCGUGGGGAAUGGUCAGGGAGGCCGAGGCCUCAGCAGAACCUCCUGGCCACUGCUUGCGGUGCAGCUAAGCUAUUAAUGUAUUUUCAUAAUCAAAACAGAAAAGUCCCAUUGUGGCACGAACGCCUUUGCCAUCAAGUGUUUUUUGUUUCCUAACAAAAUUCCAAGUUGCAAAAGCAAGUCAGCUUAGCAAAGACACAAUACCAAUUAAUGGCCCCUUGCCAUUUGGAGCAGCCAGGCAAGCUCCCAGUACAUAACGGUUGGCCAGCCUGUGUUUUAUUGGGGGAAUUCUUCUUCUCAUGACACAAGAAGUCCAGAGGCAGGCAGUCCUAUGGCUCCGUGUUGACUCCUUAGGUAUUUUUGCUCUGUUAUCCUCAGCGUAUGACCUUUUUCCUCAUGCUUUCACAAUGGCUGCUGUAUCUCUAGGCUUCAUAUCUGCAUUCCAGGCAAGAAGAAAGGGGGAGGGAAGCUGGCUUUUGCCAACUGACUCUUACCCAUUUUAAUGAGGGAAACUAACUUUCUGGAAGCACUAAGCAAUAGGCUUCCCCAUAUAUUUUUUUAGUUAGAACUGGAUCACAUGGCUGCAGGGGAGCCUGGAGGCUAAACGCAGUGUUACUCUGAACAAAAUCAGGGAUCCCUACAGUUAAGCAAGAAGAGGAAAAUGGAUAUGGAAAGGCAGCUAACAGCAGGUGCUCUGAUUUCAUAGAAACUAGGGAAUAAGUGUCACAUAAAGUAAAACUUUCCUUGAUAACAGACUUAUUCCCACGAGCACCAGAAUGUGUCUUCAUCUUUACAAGUGGUUCAAGAAGGCAGACACAUUUUCUUUGAGACAGUCUGUUGACAUUUGCCCCCCUGUGGCUGGGAGUCUCAUUACCUCUGUUGGGGUGUGGUUUGAAGGGCUGUCUUGCCCCUCCUGUGAUGGGUUGGAAAGACACCAACCUGAGCCAUAUUCCCCUGAUGGCAGAGAUAAAUCUAUUGUUUGGGCGACAUGGGGGAACCAAGAACAGAUGUCUUGGCAUGACUUUCUCUUGUUCCCUUCCCUUGACAAGGCAGAGUGGAGUUUCUUUUUCUUCCUUCCUUCCAAUAAGUAUUUUUUAUAUCUGAUUACAAAAUGAUUAUGUGUUCAUCGUGGAAAAUUUGAGAAACAGAAAAAUGUAAAAGAAAAAUUUUAAAUCACUCAAAUAUUUGUGUGUGUGUGUGUGUGUGUGUGUGUGUGGACUGAGAGAGAGGGGUCUUUUGAAAGAUGGGCCUUAGGAGUUCCCUGGUGGUCUAGUGGUUAGGACUCAGUGCUUUAAGCACUGUGGCCCGGGUUUAAUCCCUGGUCUGGGAACUGAGAUCCCACAUCAAGCAACUGGUCACUGUGGCCAAAAAAAAA
rnacentral:lncRNA from 1 species